GGGCGAUUAGCUCAGCUGGUUCAGAGCACCUCGUUUACACCGAGGGGGUCGNGGGGUUCGAACCCCUCAUCGCCCAC
rnacentral:tRNA from 1 species